AUGGUUUCUAGAUCUAUUUAAUUUAAAAAUCGGCACUUCAUUUUUCUAUGCUUAAUUUCAUGUUCUAGAGAAUUCCAUCUGAUCUUCAUCUUCCUCUCUCUUGAAUUAAUCCUAGAUCUACCAUUUCUCUCUUUGUCUUCGUCUCUCUCUCUCUGGAACAAACCCUAGAUCUGUAUCGUUUCUCUAUUCGUCUUUCUCUCUCUGAAAGAAACCCUAGAUCUAUAGCGUCUAUGUUCGUCUGCCUCUCUCUAUUACUCAAUGAAUCUAUCAGAGACAAAAAACCCUCCAUCUUCGAUGGAGGAUAUAGCGCUACACUACGUCACUCGGUUUUAUCCUCCCUCAUAAACGGAGUCGGUUGUGCCAGAAACACAAAUCUCGGCCUUCGAUCUCUGUGAAUCGGUGUCGGUUGUGGCUGAAACGGACUUCACCGCCUUCGAUAUAUGUGUGUCGGAGCCAUUGCCGCCGGAAUGCGGAGCGGCGGCUUUCGAUCGCUCAGAAGUGUCGUGGUUGCUCCAUGUCUCUAGAUCGGAGGCGAUGCAGCCGGAAAUUGAUGCGGCGACGUGGUUGCUGCCGGAAACUGAAGCGGCACGCCUCCCUCUCUUUGAAUCGGAGCCGAUUCCGCAGGAAUCCGAAGUGGCGCCAUGGUUGCUGCCAGAAACCGAAGUUGCGCGCCUCCCUCUCGCUGAAUCGGAGCCGAUUCCUCCGGAAUCCGAAGCUGCGCGCCUCUCUUUCUCUGUACAGCCCUUCGAAAUUUACAAUCACUAUAUUUUCAUAUUAAUAAACUGAAAAAUUGAAACAAAAAGAGUAGAAAAGAAAAACGAAAAAGAAUUGAUAGAGUAAUCCCAAAUGAUUAAACAAGAAUUUACAUGAAUUGAUAGAGUAAUCCCUUACAAAAUGAUAGAGCAGAAAAAAGAAAAAGAAAAAAAAACGAACAAGAAUAGAAAAACGAAAAAAAAAGAGAAAAAAAAUUAAACAAGUAAACAAGAAGAAAAAAAUAUAUAAUCCCAAAUGCAUAUAAAAAAUAAAUUAAAAAAUUAAAAGCAAUCUCCUAAUCAAAUAUUAGUAAAAGUAAUCUAAUCUCUUAACCACUAUACCCUUUUAUUUUAUUCAUAUGAUCAUCUUUUUCAGCUUUCUUAGUCUCUGUGCCCACACCCAAGUAGGACAUUAAAUCAUGGACGGAUGGAGUAUAUAUUUUAGGUUUUGUAUUUUUUAGGAUAAAUUUUUUUUUCCGACGUGGGAGGGAGAUAUAUUUCACAUGAUCUUCAUAUAUAUAUAAGGUUCGGUUCUACAAGAAAAUGAGCUUAUACAAGAAAAGGAGAAACAUUGAACAUGUCAAUAAUGUAGUUGAACAUACCAAUAAUUUUAUUGAAUGUUUGGGGUUCGAAACCUGGAUACGUUCAACACAAUUACCGAUACGUUCAUCAAAAAU
rnacentral:lncRNA from 1 species